rnacentral:tRNA from 1 species
GGGGAUGAUUGCGUGGCUGGUGCCCGCCGCGGUCUUCAACACCGUUGAGACGGCGGAGAGCCGUUUGCUGGGUUCGAUUCCCAGGCGUUCCCGCCA